rnacentral:rRNA from 1 species
CUACGGGUCGCAGCAGUCGAGAAUCUUCCGCAAUGGACGAAAGUCUGACGGAGCGACGCCGCGUGCGGGAUGAAGGCCUUCGGGUUGUAAACCGCUGUCAGUGGGGAGGAAAUGCAUCAGGGUUCUCCCUGGUGUUUGACCGAUCCGCAGAGGAAGCGCAGGCUAAGUUCGUGCCAGCAGCCGCGGUAACACGAACUGCGCGAACGUUAUUCGGAAUCACUGGGCUUAAAGAGUUCGUAGGCGGCCUUUCAAGUCGGGUGUGAAAUCCCUCGGCUCAACCGAGGAAUUGCGCCUGAUACUGUUGGGCUUGAGGGGGAUAGGGGUGAGCGGAACUGAUGGUGGAGCGGUGAAAUGCGUUGAUAUCAUCAGGAACACCGGUGGCGAAGGCGGCUCACUGGAUCUCUUCUGACGCUGAGGAACGAAAGCUAGGGGAGCGAACGGGAUUAGAUACCCGCGUAGUC